rnacentral:lncRNA from 1 species
GGCAAUCCUCUCCGGUCCCCUUCCGGGCUGUGGGAGCUUUGUUCUUUUGCUCUUUGCAAUAAAUCUUGCUGCUGCUCGCUCUUUGGGUCCACAUUGCCUUUGUGAGCUGUAACACUCACGGCGAAGGUCUGCAGCUUCACUCCUAAAGCCAGAGAGACCACAAACCCACCGGGAGGAACGAACAACUCCAGACGCGCGGCCUUAAGAGCUGUAACACUCACCGCGAAAGUCUGCAGCUUCACUCCUAAAGCCAGCGAGACCACGAACCCACCAGGAGGAACGAACAAUUCCAGAUGCGCCGCCUUAGGAGCUGUAACACUCACCGCGAAGAUCUGCAGCUUCACUCCUGAGCCGGCGAGACCACGAACCCCACCAGAAGGAAGAAACUCCGGACACGCCGCCUUUAAGAACUAUAACACUCACGGCGAGGGUCCACGGCUUCAUUCUUGAAGUCAGUGAAACCAAGAACCCACCAAUUCCGGACACAGCAGGAUCCCACCCACAGAACCGCCAGGUGCACAGCUGCAUAUCCUCAGGGGAAAACUCCCCUCCCCUGCCACCUUACUGAUAGGCUUCACUUCCCAGAGAACUUUCCCAAUCCUGUGCAAUGCCUGAGUGGUACAUUGUAUUCUAUGAGAAUGGCGCCCCCGCCUCCAGAGUUGUGCAACAAGACUUCCAUGAAUCAAAGCCCAUCGCUGGCUGCCUCCUCUAGCCCUGCAUAGCCCAGAAGCUACAACCUCAGCCCAGAUUAGCAGGCUGAGGGGUCAGGAGGCUGUCACUGGAGCUGUUGAGCUCAUGAACACG